GAUGGAGGUUUCUACAGCAGUUGGUCUCAUCCCAGGAUGUGGUCAGCCCUUCUGCAGUUCAAACCUUGACCACAAAGGCUGGUGCUGCCUGUACAGAUGUGUGUGACUCAUGGGAGAGGGCUGAACAUCUGCACGGAGGAAAAAUAGUCCUGUGCGCUAUCUACCUGUAUGCUUCAUUUGAAGGAGGAUGUCCACUGAAGAACGACGAAUUUAAUACUUCAGGAAAUAGCCUACCUAAAAGAAAAUCUGAAUUACUGAGAAGAUAAAGGUAAAUCACCAUUGUAAAAACCAGGGGACCAAAUACAUACUUUGACAGCUGGCGUCUACAUUAAGGUGGAGUUAGACAAGAUUUCUGUGUUACCUUUUCUACAAGAAAACAAAACCCUCCCUCUUGGAGAAUACAGUGGUACAUCGACAGAAGCUGUGUGAAGCAACCGAUGCAGAGGACUCAGCAUGUAAACUCCAUAUACAUUCUCUGGACUAGCUUAUGUUUGGUUAAAUGGACCAAUGCCUCUUAGCAGCUGGAGCACAUCAGGGGCACUCUUGGUGAACCUCCGUCAGCUUGUCAUCUGAACAGAGUCUAGCUUAUGGCCAAGACCACUCGGAAACAAAGCAAAGAAGGACACUCAGGAGAUACACUGUGAAAGCAAACACUUGACCCAAUAAAAACACUGGUGCUGACGUAACCAGGGUGACUACUGGCUGAUGAGCAGAAGAGAACAUUUUUCAGACUUAAAAAAAAAUCUUGUCAAACAUGCUCUUUCAAUGACUUACAGUGCAUGUACAUUAUUGAAUCACUUACUGGCUCCUAAAUACUACUGGAACUCUUCUACUAUAAAGAUAUAAAAAUCUCACUUAUUUAAACAAUAACAGGAAUCUUAUUAAGAAAUUAAUCUAUACUUGUGUAUUGAUUACCUGAAUUUCUGCAGGAAAAACUGACAAUUCCUGGAUAUACCACAUACAUAACACUAGAUUUGACAGUAAGAGUUUAUAUGAUUUUUAUAGCAUUUAAAACUAUAGCCAUGGUUCUCUCCUCCUGCCUCCUUACUCUCUUCUCUCACUCUUGCUACUGCCCUAGGCAGUAGCAGUGAAGAGCCUACAGAAACAGAUUUGGUUCACACUCCAUGCCACUCACCAUCUUUCAAUGGAAAAAUGUACAGCACUCGCUGAGAAUCAACACUGUAAAAGAAAGAUCUGCAAUCUACUCACUUGAACACAUGACUCGGAUUUCAUUCUCCAUGAUCAUCAGCACAGAGCACCAUUUUGACAGUGACCAAUUAUGCAAACAAGAGAAAAAAAAUAUAGUCUUUACAGAAGGGUAACCAACUGAUGUAGAACACCAUGAAGUAUUACGCCAUUUGACUCCCAUUUCUGAAUGGACAACAACAGAUGCUACAGCUCCUGAGGUCAGGCAGGCAUUUAUGAUCUAUCACCUAGUUGACAUGUCAACAUCCUUAAUGAAAGAGGUUGGAGGAGUAAAGCAAGAGUACUUCAGAUAUGGGUUCUACCUUUUGCCUUCAACUAAAAAGAUAGUACAUUUUAGUUAGCAGCUGCUAGGUGGCGAUGUGCCUGAAGGAAAAAAUAAUGCCUUUCCUUUUCCUGAUACUCAGCUGCAGAGUUGCUGCACUUAUCACCAACAUUUUUUUUUAAUUGUAGUUAUAAUAUAUUUCACAGGAAAAAAAAGUAGAUAAAAAUUCUGAUCUAAACAAGAUGGACUGUGUGCUUUUAAAUACUCUCAGAUACAAUAAGAAGAUAGAGCAAACGUAUGAAACCUGCAGGAAAUUCAGAGAUAGAUGAUAAGGAAGCUGCUUGCAGAAAGCAUUAUUUAUCUCCUACCCCGGGAUAAACCCACUUUACUGUUGUACCAUACAAUGAAGUAAGGCAAAGGUUAGAGGACAGAAGAAGUGGGAUUAAAUACAGGCAGAUGACCAUUCACAGCAAAUCUCACU